rnacentral:rRNA from 1 species
AUGAACGCUGGCGGCGUGCCUAAUACAUGCAAGUCGAGCGCACAGACGAGGAGCUUGCUCCUCUGACGUUAGCGGCGGACGGGUGAGUAACACGUGGAUAACCUACCUAUAAGACUGGGAUAACUUCGGGAAACCGGAGCUAAUACCGGAUAAUAUAUUGAACCGCAUGGUUCAAUAGUGAAAGACGGUUUUGCUGUCACUUAUAGAUGGAUCCGCGCCGCAUUAGCUAGUUGGUAAGGUAACGGCUUACCAAGGCGACGAUGCGUAGCCGACCUGAGAGGGUGAUCGGCCACACUGGAACUGAGACACGGUCCAGACUCCUACGGGAGGCAGCAGUAGGGAAUCUUCCGCAAUGGGCGAAAGCCUGACGGAGCAACGCCGCGUGAGUGAUGAAGGUCUUCGGAUCGUAAAACUCUGUUAUUAGGGAAGAACAAAUGUGUAAAUAACUAUGCACGUCUUGACGGUACCUAAUCAGAAAGCCACGGCUAACUACGUG